AUCCUUCCGGCAAACCACGCAGCGCCCAGGGUCGUCAGCCCAGGUUAACAGCAACGGCGUGGGCAGUCAGGAAGCAGGCGCGGAGAAAGCAGUGAGCGAGAGGUUUCGACCUGCAUCGCCAGGCUGCAGCGAGAACCCUGCGAAGUCGCUUUAGCGGAAUCCCCUAGCCUCUACGUCAGAUCACCCUCCAUUUCUGACCACAUGCCUCAUCCCCCACGACCCCCCCGCUGCUAGCCCUUCGCCCUGGCUGCCCUUAGCAAGAAUGCUGUUGGUCAGCUGAGCAAAGAAUUACCUACCCUCCUAGUGAUUUUCCAUUCACCGCCCCCACCUCCGCCCCGGCCUGCUCCUUGGCUAUAAAUCCCCACUCGUCCGUGCUGUGUUUGCAAGUGACCCUGCUUCUGUACCGAGGUCUCUCCCUCUGUUGCAAAGUCCUGAAUAAAAUCUCUUUCUACUGCUA